UAGGGAAUCUUCCACAAUGGGCGCAAGCCUGAUGGAGCAACACCGCGUGAGUGAAGAAGGGUUUCGGCUCGUAAAGCUCUGUUAUUGGAGAAGAACGUGCGUGAGAGUAACUGUUCACGCAGUGACGGUAUCCAACCAGAAAGUCACGGCUAACUACGUGCCAGCAGCCGCGGUAAUACGUAGGUGGCAAGCGUUAUCCGGAUUUAUUGGGCGUAAAGCGAGCGCGGGCGGUUGCUUAGGUCUGAUGUGAAAGCCUUCGGCUUAACCGAAGAAGUGCAUCGGAAACCGGGCGACUUGAGUGCAGAAGAGGACAGUGGAACUCCAUGUGUAGCGGUGGAAUGCG
rnacentral:rRNA from 1 species